UACGUAGGGUGCAAGCGUUAAUCGGAAUUACUGGGCGUAAAGCGUGCGCAGGCGGUUAUGCAAGACAGAUGUGAAAUCCCCGGGCUUAACCUGGGAACCGCAUUUGUAACUGCAUAGCUGGAGUACGGCAGAGGGGGAUGGAAUUCCGCGUGUAGCAGUGAAAUGCGUAGAUAUGCGGAGGAACACCGAUGGCGAAGGCAGUCCCCUGGGCCUGUACUGACGCUCAUGCACGAAAGCGUGGGGAGCAAACAGG
rnacentral:rRNA from 1 species